AUGUAGAAAUGUUAUAUUUGUAUGAAAGCAUGUUUAUAACAUGCAUGCAAAUAACCACACACAUAUAUAUAUAUGUAUUGGAAUUGUUUAAGACUUGUUGGGUGUUAGCCCUGUAUUUUAUAUCAGUCAAUAGUCAGUAUAUUAUCUUGGCUGAUGGUCAGUAUUGUACACUGAUUUAUGAUCAGUUUUCUACAAUGGUUAAUGCUCAAUAUAUUACAUCGUUUUAUGGUGAGCUUGUUAGCUACAUUAGUUGAUGGUAAGUGUGUUACAUUGGUUCAUUGUUAAUGUAGUACAUUCGUUUACGGUGAGCAUUGUUAAAUGUGUUGAUGGUAAGCUAAGUAUGUUACAUUGGCUCAUGGUAAGUUUACUUUGGACGUACCAGUAUUGUAAUGUAUUGCAGGUUUCAGUCAUUUUUUCUUCUCAUAUUUUUGACGUGGAAAACAUUUUAGAUAAAUAGAUUGUUUCCUUUUCAUGACAGUACGAAGUAAAGCCAAGCAGUGUCAAGAAAUCUGUUUCAGGUGCUGUACUCGCCUUUAGAACAAAAAAUCCAGAUGAUCGUGAGGAAGUUUUUAAUAAGAUCAAGUGCGUGGAUGAAACAUUUCACAGCUUUUACAAGGAAGACUUACCGAAGAGAAUGCAUUUUUCAAAUAGCAAACGCAUUGAUGACAUUAUAGUAUUGGCUGAGCUAGGACGAUUGGUUGCGAUAGAUUCCGAAGAAGUUGUUGAUCGAUGCAGUCUUGGUACACAUGGUUAUGAUCCUAUCAUUCCAGACAUGUGGACAAUUUUCAUGGCUAGAGGGCCUUCGUUCUUGAAAAAUAAAGUGGUAGACCAUUUUUCAAAUGUUGAAGUGUACAACUUACUUUCAGAAGUUUCAACUGGAUGUGGACAUGUUGAAAAAGGUUUUCGAUGCUACAUCUCAACAAGGGAAACUGUUUGAAAUAAAGCAUUUACCUUGGGGUAUGCCUGAAGGAGGAGUUGGACAGAAGAGUUGUUUGUUAUCGCAAAAACAUUUUAUCAUCGCAUACAGUACAAUUUUACGUAUUCCUCUUUGGGCAGCAUACACCAUCAACUUUAAGCAAAUUCUAAGACGUAAUAACCUACAAGAAAACUGCCACAGAUCAGAUGCUCGUCUUCAAAAGUUAUUUGGCAACUGCUCUACCUACAAGAACGGCUAUAAGUUUGGUAAAGGAAGACUAAUACCAAAACGAGAUCUUACUUUUGACAAUAUUACAAUAUUCUUAUCUUCCACUUUGUCAAACCUCGUUCCUAUGGAUAUUGAUUUGAUAGAGAUCUGGCAAGAACUUGAAAGCACAAUUAAAAAGUGGGCUGACAAAUAUAGCUUGGUUCAUGUGAUUGCGGGCUCUAUAUUUGAUGCCGACGAUAAUGGCUUAAAAGACCAAGAAAUCGUUUCUGAUAGACGUCUGGGAACUCAACAAAAAAUCCAGCCAUUCCAACUCAUUUUUACAAAAUUGUCACAAGAUGUGACGAGAACAUGACGUCAGAUAAUGCAACCAAUGAAUGCCGUGGAACCAUUCACGUGAUUUCGUUCAUUUUUAAAAAUAGAUAUGAGAAAUGUAAGUUCCGAACAUCGAAAAAAAUUAUUCUUCAAAAUGUCGCUCCAGUCCGAGAUAUAGAACUCCUCACUGGAAUCAAUUUCUUCUCAAACUUGCCUGCACAACUCCAGGUUGAUCUAAAAACAUUUGUUCCUGUGGAACUGUGGAAGUUAUAAUCAUGCAAUGGUAAAAUUGUGAGAAGUCAUGUUCUUGUGACAUUUUUGUGACAUUUUUGUUUUAUUGUGACAUUUUUGUUGUAGUCUUUUGAAAUUGACCUAAUUGAUUGAAAGGGUAUUCUUUUCUGGUAUGAAGUUGACACUCAAGCAGCGACCCCCCUUAAAUAAAAAUGAAUCUACACGCAA